ACUGAAUGCCGUAAAUAAGGGGCUCUACAGAGAGGCCACAGAGCUGUGGGGGAAAGCAGAAAUGAUCAUUGAACAGAACACAGAUGGGGUGAACUUCUAUAACAUCUUAACUAAAAGCACUCCCACGUCUACAAUGGAGUCGAGUCUAGAAUUCACACAGAGCCACCUAGCUGAAUCUGAAACCCUCCCUCUUGCUGUGCAGCAUCCCCAGCAGCUUGGUAAAGAUGUCCUCAUGGCCAGGCGUGGUGGCUCACACCUGUAAUCCCACCACUUGGGAGGCUGAGGCGGGUGGAUCAUGAGGACAAGAGAUCGAGACCAUCCUGGCCAACAUGGUGAAACCCUGUCUCUACUAAAAAUACAAAAAUGAGCUGGGCAUGGUGGCGGGUGCCUGUAGUUCCAGCUACUCGGGAGGCUGAGGCAGGAAAAUCGCUUGAACCCAGGAGGCGGAGGUUUCAGUGAGCCGAGAUCGUGCCACUGCACUCCAGCCUGGAGACAGAGAGAGAUUCUGUCUCAAAAAAAAAAAAAAAA
rnacentral:lncRNA from 10 species